rnacentral:lncRNA from 1 species
GGUAUGGAUAUAAUAUGUCAAACCCCUAAUGUGAUUAUUCCAUGUUAUAUGAUUCAAUUGAGUCGUAUAGGAAUGCUUUGCUUUAUUACGCUUGAUACUUCGGCCGAAGAUUCCCGAAUCAUAUCUUAGAGUAUUCAUCCUCUCAUAACGAGGAUUAGAGAUUCCUUGUUAAACAUUCACUUGCCUUCAUGACUAAGUGGCUUAACCCCGACUAUGCCGUGAACACCCGCGGAUGGAGUGACUUUGACAUAAUCAAAGAUCAAGUACUUAACCACAAGACAACGAUGAUGCCUCAGGUCAAAGGACUACUUACACUAUUCUAACCAUUAGAGUUACUUGCUUGACAUGUGAGUAGACCUCCACGCAAGUACUCUCGUUCGAUUGUGUUCAGUGAUGUCAUUCCCUUAAUGAGCACCUACAUACUUGUCUUAGUGUCACUACACGAAUGGGAUGAGACUUUCCAUCCUUCUAAUUGAAGCUUCUAAUUGAAUAGUAUGUACGGGUCUAUGCAGUUGUCAUAUGCAUUGUCAGUAUCCCUCCGACAAUCUUAUGACCAGGAACCUUUUUGGACAUGAUGGUUAUGUGAAGAAGGUCUCUGUAGUCUAACAUCAUUAGAUUACUUCUUCCAUCAAUCCAUUGUCCAUGGAUUCACUAUUUAUGACAUAUAUCGUUUAUAGAGAUAGUCCUAAUUAAUAUCUUUGCCAUUUGAUGUAUAAGAAUCAUCCAUACAUCCAUUCAUUGUCUUGAAAGGUUUCUUCCAAAGAUUGACUUUCAGGGCAUAUCUCCAACAAUCUCCCACUUGCACUAAAGUCAAUCACUAGUAUAUCUUAUAUAUGCUAGUUGAGUGAGCUUAUGCUCGUAGGUUAACUUGGUUAUGCAUUAAUCCUUUUAAUUUAUAAAAGGGAUUUACUUAUCAAAUGUUUCUAAAACAUUUGAUGAUGUCUCUUUCUUGUGUUCUAAUACUUUGAUGAGACCUUGAUUCCAUGGCUUGAGCUAUCGCCCCAUUACGUCGUAGUAUCCUACUAACGACCUUAUGGUUUGGAUUCAAUCAUUGGUUCUAAAAGAACCCCUUCCAUUCAAAACACCUUUUGAAGCAGAUCGUCAUAUAUUUCGUUUGUAUACUUUAUACAAACUUUGCUCCAACCUUGAGACCAUUGUAGUACAAUACUUACAAUACAUUCAUAUGAUUAGUACUUCAUCCAUUAUGAAGUUCCAUUUGUUAAAAUGGGUUAUUUUCACUUUGGUUAAUAACCUAAGUGAAUGCACGCUUCCAGAGUCCCACUCUGAUGUUCCUUUCUUAAAGGCAAUAAUACUCUAUCAGUUGCUUUGGUUCUGAUCCUGGGAUAUCUUAAAGUGACAACCCAUGUGGUUUUUCACCUUUGGAUAUCAUCUCACAAGUCCAUACAUGUGUCCCUUUUGUGAUUUUAUGACACAUAUCGUUAUAAGGAUUAUGAAAGUGAUUUUCUAUCAUAUAAGAAAAUACUUUCUCAAAUCUUCAACAUUUGAGAUUUAAUUUCCCUAUUAAACAUUCUUGAGAUAGCCUUGCUAUAUCAAUAAGUCCAAUUUCAAGUCUAUACUUUAAAAUUGACCGUGUCAUGUUUUGUCAAUUUUCGAGUAACAUCUAUGUUCUAUCAAGUCUAUCAAAUAGACUUUAUUCAUAUCUUUUUGCCCAAAUUAUGACAUCACUCCCACUGGCCUUGUUGUAACUUAGCAUUCAUUCAAAAACUUAACGAUUAUAUUUUCUUGAUUUGAAUGCAUAUUGCUCCCACCAACUUGUCUUGGAUCUAUUGACAAUCAUUGGGAUCCAUUAGCUUAUUGAUGAUGUCUCAACAAUUUUGAGACUAUCAACAACGCUAGCUAACACAAGUUAUUUAAACGAACAUACACAAAAGAAUUCCUUCUAAAGUAACUCCAUUUGAAAUGUGUGACUUGCUUUAUCAAGCUCAUUCAUUUAAAUUAUAUGGUGCCAUACACCAUAUUACAAGUUUUAGUCAUACUAAGACCUUUAAUGUAGUCAUAUAAGAAUUAUCCAAGUCUUUAGUGGAAGCAUGGCUCCUACUAAGGAUAUAGAAACUCAACCAUUCCUUCUAGGUGGUUGAUAUAAUUCUUUAUCAAAACUACAUAGAGCGUUAUAGUUACAAAAGAUGUUGAAUUUGGAUUGUCUUGUUGUUAAACUAUAUGUUGUGACUCAUUUUGAAACUAUUCCCUUUUGUUUCAUCAACUUGUCCAAAUGCUUUGUUAUUAGCUUGUUCUCAUAAAAGAGAAUGAUGGACAACUCCCAACAUAUAACCAUUUUAUGCUAGGUUGACGAAACCAACAUUCAUAGACUAUUCUAUAGAAUGUUACACAACAUAGAAUUUUAACGUUUUGAAGAGCUUGUGUCUUUUAACAAUUAAAAUUACAAACUCUUAAUAAUAGUGAAAUACUAUUAUUCUUUAGACAACUAUAAACCAAUCAUAUUCAAGUUUAUAUCCAUUUUCAUACCUCCCACUAUUUCUCAUGACUUUAAUGAGAAAUCACUUCAUACAUUCAAAAUGUAUAAACGUGGAGUAUACGGGUAGAAGACAUUGUGUAGUAGCUUUAAAACCUUUCAAGCUCGUUUGUUUCAAUCUUCACUAAGUUAAUGUCUCGUUAUUAAGUGACUAAAGUCUUUAAACAUUUUAUAGAUUUAGACACUUCUUUCUUGGUUUAAUCACUAACACAAUUGACAUUUUAAAACAAUUUAAAGAAUGCCCAAUUAGUUGUUCAAAACUACUAAUUGAAUCAAGAGUGAUCUUGAUUAUUGUGGUUUAAGUGAUAACCAUAUAAGAAACGUUUUUCUUAUUACUUAUAUCAUUAUAAUGUGAUCUUCCUUUUCUUUAAGAAAGGAAUCUCUAGACCUUUGUCAAUUCAUAUAGAACUCAUAGGUAGACAAUUGGAACCAAAUCUAAAGAUUUAUUGUAUCCUUUUAUGUCCUACAUGUGAGAUCUAUCCAUAAUUGAUAAGUCUAAAGUUUGGUUAUCACAUUACAAUAAGUGAUAUAAAUCUUGUAUCUCAACUAGGAUACAACAAGACAAUAUUCAAUUCAUAACACUACUUUAAGGAAAUAAUAUAUUAGAAGGCAUUCAUCACAUUACAUUGAUAUGAUAAUUCAAACAUUCAUAAUGUUUAAUACAAAAAGAAUUAGCUCUAUACAUUUACAGACUAAUUAUAUACCUUCGUGUAGGCACUAAUAGUGGUCUUCCAUCAUAUGAAGCCACAUUAUAAGUUCUUAACAAAAUAAGAAAGUUUAAAGACUAUCUUUAAAUGCCUAACAAACUUCCUAAGUAGUAAGCAAAAAAAAAAAAACAUAGUGGCCGAACCCUUCUCCACAUUUUUCCUUGCUUGUUCCUCUUCUACUUGGCUCCUCCACCUAUAUACAAUUAUACAAGUGAUUAGCCCUUUAUAUCAAAUAUAAAUUUUAGAAGAUCUAACAAUUAGAAUUGACAAUAAGAACAUAAACCAUACCUUGUGGCUUGUCCUUAAGAGUUGCAAGGUAUAACCUGCAAUUCCUCUUCUAAUGCCCCUCAUUUCCACAGUGGUGGCAAGUCCCCUUGGGCUCCUUUGCCUUCUUUUUCCUCACUCCUCCUUGCGGCUUA